AUUAAAAUGUAGUGUUAUACAUUCUCAUUUAAGGGAUCUCAAAUGUGACAUUGUGCCUGAUGAGGAAAUGCCUCAAGUUUGCCAGUAAGUGUAAAAUGUAGUGACUCAAUUGUACAUAACCACAGUCACUAUCAUGACUAUGCUGCUUUGAUUGUGAGAUUGGAUUUUGCAUAGUGCCAGCAUUGAUACAGAAGAAAGCCACUUAAUUUUAAACUUCUAGUUAGACUAGUGUUAGCGCAUCUGGAGGUUGAUGAAUGCACAACAGCAUCUGGUUUGUUCAGGUCACUAACAGUGUUUCCGUCACCCUUUCCUUCCCUAUUAAAUUUGUAUGGUUUUCAGUCAUGUUAAAACAAAUAUUUAUGGAUCAUGCUGAACGAGUUACGGAUGGAAAAACACUGACAUGAUUUUUAUGAGCUUUUAACCCUGUUAGUUUCCCUCAUUAUUACCGUAUUCAAAGUUUCCAUUUCACCAACAAAUUCAAACUUUGGGUCAAACCUGUAGGGUUAAAAAAAUCUAUUACUAUUCUUUGCCAUUUAUUGUUGAAAGUGGUUAUGUCUUUAAAGUAAAGCAACUGGACUUGCCGAUUAGUUCAGUUGGUUAUUUUUAUAUUUCACUUUACAAUUAAUAUUAAGACAUAACACUUACCUGUAUUAACAGAUGUGUCCUCCAGUGAAGCAUUCACUUCAUUUGCAAAGUUCUUAAACAUGUGAUGGAUAUCUACCUCCAACUCACUAUUCAUUGUGUGAUCUAUAAGCAUUUUAUUUAAAUAUUAGCACAAAAACCCAUAGGAAAGUUAUAGGAUCAAAAUGGUGACAAAACUGUUAGUGACAGAGCCAAUUAUUAAAGGUAAUUUUUACUGAAAAAUCAGACAUGGAUGAUUCAAGAUGACAAAUGGUUGGAAAUACCAAUGUGAUUUUUAUUUGUAUUUAUUAGCAGCCAUGUCUAGCCUAGGUAAUACUAAUCCUUGUAAAUGUACGCACCUUUUUAAUGAACGAAGGCUAUGAUGACAGGUCUAUGUAUGCUUGUAUGUGUAUUUAUAUGUUGUAUAUUGUAUGCUUAAUGAUUGUAUAUAAAUCAAAGAACCAAGGCUUGAUUUGGGCCAACUUUAUUCUGUUCCCAAAGCUGUACAUGGUUUAUAAAUAUCUCCUCAAACAUGGAAUACUUACACCUGACAUCUUGUUUCAUUGAUUCCAGCAGUUGGCUCUCACAAGGAUAGUUCCACUUUGAAAAGUAUCAAGUGCACAGCCUGAACAGUGCACAGUAGCUCAUUCGUUUCUUAUUGGUGGAUUUCUCUGCACAGUUAAAUGACUAAAAUACAAGCAGGUCAAAAAUAAACCAUCUUCCAGUGUUACAGCUGUAGUACCUAUAUUGCUGAAUGUACAGUCAACCCGAAGAACCCUAAAGGUAAACUCACACUCGGCACUACGCACAAAAUGGCCGCCACUGCAGAGAAUGGUGCAACCAAACACAGCGGAGAAGACUUCUUACACAUUUAUGCUCGAUUCAUUGCUCUGACAAUGAUUACAAAGAUCAGUCAAUUCAUGGUCAAUGCUUGGAUUAGUGUAUGUGCCCUCUGCUGGCUACUUCUAAGUAUAGAAAAACAACAGUUACAUGUUUUUGACACAGCAAUUUACACAUUAAAAUUAUUAGAGUAUUUUUUCAUUUAUUCAAACAAAAUAACUGGCCACGUGUUACUAAAAUCCUAUUUAUCAAUCUGUUGUUUGGGGGUGUGUCCUAUAAGCAGCUCUGAUCUUCAAUUGGUCCAUGUCUACGGGAAUGUAGAAGAAAGGCAUCAGAACUUUGAGCGAGCGGCACCAUUCUCAUAAACAGACUCCAUUUUGUGUAGUUCACAAUGACAUCAUAUUCACCCAUCUAUUUACACACAAGUCUGGCACAUCCUUCACCCUGUUAAAGCCAGUCUCUGGCAUGGCUAACUACCUAGAUAUUGCACAUCUAGCAAAUCAUCUAUUUAUCACAGAGAAA
ensembl:lncRNA